ACGGGUGAGUAACACGUAUGCAAUCCACCUGUAACAGGGGGAUAACCCGGAGAAAUCCGGACUAAUACCCCAUAAUAUGGGCGCUCCGCAUGGAGAGUCCAUUAAAGAGAGCAAUCUUGGUUACAGACGAGCAUGCGCUCCAUUAGCCAGUUGGCGGGGUAACGGCCCACCAAGGCGACGAUGGAUAGGGGUUCUGAGAGGAAGGUCCCCCACAUUGGAACUGAGACACGGUCCAA
rnacentral:rRNA from 1 species